ensembl:lncRNA
UUCUGACGAGAGGACGUGUGUGCACUGUGCUCCGGUACUCCAGUAGACAACGAGGGGCCCACUCCCCCAGUUACUCACCGUGGAGGGCGGGGCGGGGCAUGUAAGGAGCAAAACUGCCAUCCGAUCAAGCCGAGUGGCACCCUGGUUAGGAGCAUGGACUCGGAGCCCUUCAGCCUGACCUUGCCUCUCAGCUCCAAGGCCGCGGGAGAAAAGUUCUUGUAAGGUUUUCUCAUUUUUGACCGGGAGUAGCAAUGACAGCAGCCUCAUUCAGAGAGAGAAUGCAGGUGAAGAUAGUAGUGCAUCUCGUGGCUUGGGACAUAGCAAGCAUUAGAUGUGUUCUCAGUGGUGGUCUUGUCCCCUAUCAGUGUUGAAUUGUCACCUGUAUCUUAAUGGCUCCAUCCCCAACUCCAGAAAUCGCUGCCAGUCAGCUCAGACGGUGCAUGUUCAAAAACGAAUUCCUUUUCUUGCCUUGAACCACACAUUCUGUGCUCUUUUCUCCUGUGCUGUAAGCUCUUGAGCACAGCCUGUCUGUGCUUUUCCUCUUUGGAGCCUAGUAACCCCCUUCAUGGAGGUUCAAAGUAGGUACCCGGUGAAGUUCCCCAGUGGCUGCAGCCUGGGACAUGCGUAAUGAUUGACUGACCCCGAGGAGCCUGUGUGGUGGAGUUAGGGCUCGUGGGGGAUCCGAUGAGCACAGAUGUGCAUGGUUUUUCCAGCAGGCCACAUCAUAUCUACCUCUGUGGCUUCAGAGCAGGGCUGAGAUUUACCAUUAGAGAGAGAAGAACAGGGUUGGGGAGCAGAGGUAAAUCUAGGCACAUAGCACGGAGCCACACUGAACCAGUAGAUGAAAGAUGGUUCUUAGAGUGAGCCUGGAAGUUCAUUUAUGCAGGGAUAAGAGCUCUCGGGGUGGUAGAAUAACGUUUUUGAGAAAUGACCAGGUUUAAGACAACGCCCUCCGGGUGACCCUUCCCCUUCCCUGCAUCUCCCUUCAUCCUGCAUCGGGGGAUGGCACAGCUACAGAAAUGGAGAUGCCCUUCCCUCGCUUCGCAGGGAGGAGGCCACGCAGCCUCGUUCUGGGUUCCCUGUGGUAACUUAAAGGAGCCCUUGAUGUCCUGCCAAUGAAGACAGUGUCCUCAAACUCUUUGCAGUGGGCACCCACUUAAGUGCCACCACCUUGACUUCCAAAUGGAACACUGUGUCUCCAAAAGGAGGGGUGAUGGCUUCUACCUCGUAAACCUGAAGACAACCCGGGAGAAGCUUCUGCUAGCAGCUUGCGCCAUUGUUGCCAUUGCGAACCUGCUUAAUGACUCACAUCCUCUAGGAAGCCUGGCCCACGAGCUGUGGUGGCAUCUGAUCUGAUCUGGGCAGCCCUCUGGGAACCAUGGCUUCUGGAAGUUCCUGACCCCGGGGCUGCCCACCAGCCUCUCCCAGAAUGUCAACCCACGCCAUGGCUGUGCCCUGUGGACAUGGCCGCUGGUGCAACCACAAGGGAGUGCCCUCAGCACAUCUGGAGCGGUCGCUGUGGGCCCAGCAAGUUAAGCAUGUACAUGAUACCCUCCCCUGUGAACACCCAUGGAGGGCAUGCCUGGUCUCUACUUCUUCAGACAUCCCCAGAGUCUGAAAAGGUGAGCAGCUGCCCCCGAAGGGCUAUGCAAGCAAGAAUGUUGGGGCAACUGCAUUGCCCCAUUCCUGAGCUGACUGCUACUCAACCCGAGGUCGUAGCCGGGGCUGUGCCCACUCAGGGGUUCUUUGCUGAGGACUGGGAUGCCCAGCCAGCUGCUGAGAUGGAGUCUGCAGCACUCACUGCUCAGGCUUCUGAAUGGGGAGGAAGCACCAUGAAGGAGUCUUAGCUGUUCUGCCCCAGACACUUAAACAGAAAAUGGAAAUAAGGCUGACAAGAGGAAACACUUCCUUUUUUAAAAAUGAAGAAGACCGAAGGGAGAGCUUCCUCCAUCUUGGUUUCCCAAAGCACAAACCCAUUAAGAAUAUGUUUUGUGCCUCUAAAGCAAACCUGAAGGUACAGGGGAUUUCUCUAAGGGAAAAAAAACCUCAAAGAUGGAAAAGGAUUGUCCCCUCUGGUAUCUUUAAAAAAAUGCUCCUCAGGACUGGGAAUGGAGUCCCAGGGUGGCCGCCUUGAUGGUUUUCCUGGACAGAGUUAGUCCUGGAAGUUGAGCGCCUGGAGAGGGUUUGCAGAGUAGGCUGGGUCCCAUGGGAACAGUAGAGGGAACUCACUGCCAUGUCUAUGCUUGGCAAAGACAGCCUUGACUUUGGGGGACUUAGUGGACAGGCUCAGCAGCCACCUCACAUGGGACCUUCACUGACAAGAGACUCAAAGACCAAGUCCUUGGAGUUCUUAUUGUAGCACAGUGGGUUAGGAACCCAACUAGUCUCUAUGAGGAUGCAGAUUUGAUCCCUGGCCUCCCUCAGUAAGUUAAGAUCCAGUGUUUCCGUGAGCUGCAGUGUAGGUAGCAGACAUGGCUCAGAUCUGGCAUUGCCCUGGCCAUGGUGUAGGCUGGCAGCUGCAGCUCCUAUUCAACCCCUAACCUGGGAACUUCCAUAUGUCACAGACGUGGUCCUAAAAAAAAAAAAAAAAAAAAGGACCGAAUUCUUUCCAGUCUCCUUCAACACCAAUCACGUUCAUGGUGCUUCAACACCAUCCUGGGAAAAACAGGGAGAGGAAAUCCAGAAUAAAUGGAAAAUAUGUUUCUGACCAUCAGGUGGAAAUUAAAAUAGAAAUAAAGUUAUAGAAACAAUUUUAAAUUUAUAUUUCUCAGACAACUGCAUUUGUGGAUGAGACUCAGUCUGGCAGCAGUAGCAGGGACCCAGGUCAGAGAUGCCAGCCCAGCAGCCUUAUCCCGCAGGAUGGCCGAUGGAGGAUAGGAAUGUGGGGAUUGGGCAACAGCAGGAGGACAGACAUCUCCGCUGGAGACAGACAGUCAUUUUGAUCCCCUGGCCGAGGCUCCUUGGUGAAAAGGGUUGAGGACAUGGAAGAACUGUAGUAAGUGGUGCACUAUCCUUGCUUCUCAUUCCAAAGUGUGGGUCAGUGGUUUCAAGCAGAUCUUCUUAGCUUAGUAAAGACCUGAGUUAAACAAAGAAGUCUUCCAGGCAUGCUUGUCUCUCCCAGCCAGGACCAGGUGGAUUCUGCUUGACACCUGGAGUCAAGAUUUUGCUGUCCAGUGUGGGCAACACCCUGUGUGAUGGAGGAUGCUGCCCCAGCCUGGCUUACUUAGAUGUUUUUGGUCACCUGGCAUGUAGUAGGUGCUCAGUCAGUGUUGAAUGAGUGAGUGAAUACAGGAGCUUCUUUGGAGCCUGCCUGUCCAUGGCCCCUCUGCCAUCAGGCUCCCAGACACCAGAGCUGCUAGUGAUGGUUCUGGCCCAGAGCUACCCAGAUACCGCAGGGGACUGACUAUUUGGCUCAUCCUCUAGGACUGAGCAGA